UACGAGGGGUGCAAGCGUUAUUCGGAUUUAUUGGGCGUAAAGGGUGCGUAGAUGGGUUGCUAAGUCUGUUGUUAAAUUCCCUGACUUAAUCAGGGUCCAGCAAUGGAAACUGGCGAUCUAGAGUGUGGAAGAGAGGAGUGGAAUUCCCGGAGUAGCGGUAAAAUGCGCAGAUAUCAGGAGGAACACCGGUGGCGAAGGCGGAUCUCUGGGCCUUACCUGACGCUGAGGCGCGAAAGCUAGGGGAGCGAACAGG
rnacentral:rRNA from 1 species